AGUGAACGCUGGCGGUAGGCCUAACACAUGCAAGUCGAACGGCAGCACAGUAAGAGCUUGCUCUUACGGGUGGCGAGUGGCGGACGGGUGAGGAAUACAUCGGAAUCUACUUUUUCGUGGGGGAUAACGUAGGGAAACUUACGCUAAUACCGCAUACGACCUACGGGUGAAAGCAGGGGAUCUUCGGACCUUGCGCGAUUGAAUGAGCCGAUGUCGGUUUAGCUAGUUGGCGGGGUAAAGGCCCACCAAGGCGACGAUCCGUAGCUGGUCUGAGAGGAUGAUCAGCCACACUGGAACUGAGACACGGUCCAGACUCCUACGGGAGGCAGCAGUGGGGAAUAUUGGACAAUGGGCGCAAGCCUGACCCAGCCAUACCGCGUGGGUGAAGAAGGCCUUCGGGUUGUAAAGCCCUUUUGUUGGGAAAGAAAAGCAGCAGGUUAAUACCCCGCUGUUCUGACGGUACCCAAAGAAUAAGCACCGGCUAACUUCGUG
rnacentral:rRNA from 1 species